rnacentral:rRNA from 1 species
GACGAACGCUGGCGGCGUGCCUAACACAUGCAAGUCGAGCGGAGCCAAUCAUCAGAUCCCUUCGGGGUGAAGAAGAGGAAGCUUAGCGGCGGACGGGUGAGUAACGCGUGAGUAACCUGCCCAUAAGAGGGGGAUAACACAGAGAAAUCUGUGCUAAUACCGCAUAUUGAAUAUUUACCGCAUGGUUGAUAUUUGAAAGAUUUAUCGCUUAUGGAUGGACUCGCGUCUGAUUAGCUAGUUGGUGAGGUAAUGGCUCACCAAGGCGACGAUCAGUAGCCGAACUGAGAGGUUGAUCGGCCACAUUGGAACUGAGACACGGUCCAAACUCCUACGGGAGGCAGCAGUGGGGAAUAUUGCACAAUGGGCGAAAGCCUGAUGCAGCAACGCCGCGUGAGUGAAG